rnacentral:rRNA from 1 species
GCGAUGGGAUGCGAAUCUCGAAAGCCUGUCUCAGUUCGGAUUGGAGGCUGAAACCCGCCUCCAUGAAGUUGGAUUCGCUAGUAAUCGCGCAUCAGCCAUGGCGCGGUGAAUACGUUCCCGGGCCUUGUACACACCGCCCGUCAAGCCAUGGAAGCUGGGGGUGCCUGAAGUUCGUGACCGGAAGGAGCGACCUAGGGCAAAACCGGUGACUGGGGCUAAGUCGUAACAAGGUAGC